rnacentral:rRNA from 1 species
UACGGAGGGUGCGAGCGUUAAUCGGAAUUACUGGGCGUAAAGGGUGCGUAGGUUGUCUAUUAAGUUAUCUGUGAAAUCCCUGGGCUCAACCUGGGCAGGUCAGAUGAUACUGGUAGACUAGAGUAUGGGAGAGGGCAGUGGAAUUUCCGGUGUAGCGGUGAAAUGCGUAGAGAUCGGAAGGAACACCAGUGGCGAAGGCGGCUGCCUGGCCUAAUACUGACACUGAGGCACGAGAGCGUGGGUAGCAAAC